rnacentral:rRNA from 1 species
CGGGUGAGUAAUACAUCGGAACGUGUCUUCUAGUGGGGGAUAACUGCCCGAAAGGGCAGCUAAUACCGCAUGAGACCUGAGGGUGAAAGCGGGGGAUCGCAAGACCUCGCGCUGGAAGAGCGGCCGAUGUCCGAUUAGCUAGUUGGUGAGGUAAAGGCUCACCUAGGCGACGAUCGGUAGCUGGUCUGAGAGGACGACCAGCCACACUGGGACUGAGACACGGCCCAG